UGGGAAAUCCCCUCCUCCCACCAGUUCCUCUUUAAAUCGAGCCUCUAUCCCUCUUGCACAGGAUGUCUGACUUAGGAAAGAACCCUACACUCACCCUGGCACCCCCACCAGGUUACUGGGGAGAGCACGGCACAGUCAUAACCUUUGACGGGGAAAUCACCCUCCGCUGUGCCGGCACCUGACAGUGUCACUGCUCUCAUCAACCCUGAGACUGGUACUACCAAUCACAUUCUGAGAUGGGGAAAUGGAGGGUCCCAGAUAAAGCAUUCCUAACCCUCAGUCAAAGCCAGUAAGCGGCUAGGCUGGGUCUCGAACCCUUGUUUUCCUGACUCUAGCGCCCUCUCUUUCUGUUUGUCCACGCCAGGCUCUCCUACCCGGCAGGUAAACCACCUGAAGCUUCGGACCGGCUGGGUCACCUCGGGAAAGUAACUUAACCUCUCUGAACGCCCCCAAGGUCAGAAAGCUUUGCUUUCGGGGGAGAAAGCGGUAUGCAAACAAGACGCAUACGAAACACACACCGCGGGCGCCGGCGCAGUCCUUUCCCGGAGCCUGGGGCUUUCUAACGGGGAACGCGCGCCCCCAGCCCCCGAGACCGGCGAAACCAAGCGCCGAGCCGGCUAGCAGAAGCGAAACCUCAACACUCUUCAGCCUCCCCCGCUCGGUUCCGGGAACCGGCGAGCCAGGCUUCGUGGAAGCGCGCCCGGCAGCCGCGGGCCUCGGGACCGCCCCGACCACAGCCCGCAGUCCCGGGCCGGGAGUCCCUUAGGCGCGGGACGCGUGAGACGGGCGAGGAUGCCGGAGGCGGGAAGCGAGAGCGGGAAUGCCCAGCCCUGGCAAGCUGAGAGGGGCGGAGAGAGGACCAGCAGAGAUUGAGCGCCUACUGUGUGCCUUAGCGCUUGACAACAGGACUUUCGUUAGAUCUUCACUACAGCCCUUGCCAGAGGGAGUUAAUGCCCCAUUUAAGAGGGAUAAACUGAGCCUCUGAGAGGUGAAGUCACUCGCCGAAAACUGCACAGCCAGGCUCAGCGUGACACCCCAAAUCAGGGCUCAGUUACGCCAAGAAGAGCACGAUGAGCUUGAACCACUGGUUUGCCGAGUCCUGUUCUUGCUCUUUUUGUGUAGACAGACACAUAGUAGGUGCUCAGGAAGAUACUGGAAGAUGGAAAAUGAGCUUGACAGCUCAGCCCCGGAGUACGCGCCGCGAAUCCAGCCCAGCCCGCGGGGCACCGGGUUUCCCCAGACCUCAGAAGGGAACUUUUGCGAUGGGCGGACAUCUCAGUUCGACACAGGCAUUCGACAAACACGUGGUGGCGGAGCCCCAGCCCUAGCGGAGGACAGACCGGAUUCAAAUCCCAGCUCUACCGCUAUCAGGCUGUGUGACUUUGGGCAAGUCACGUCAUCUACCGAACCUCGGUUGUACCGCCUACAAAAUGGGGAUAUUAACAUCCACUUCCAAAGGGUUGUGGGGAGGAUUAAACGAAACAAUGUUUCUAACACACUUACUAAACGCACAAGUAUCGUCGCGCGUUCAUCCCGCAACCUUCAGGCGGUGCACCCGUUCGGGAUGAGGACCCGAGACUAAGGCUCCUCGGCCCCAGUUCCCAAGUCGGCCACCCCUGGACGCACGGACCGACGGGCCUUCCAGUCACCCUCGUCCGGCGAAACCCGAAAUUUCGGGCACUUCGGCCGCGGUUGGUCCCGAAAGCAAAUAUUCAAAUAUUCCGAAACUGGCGCAUGGCUAGGGCUGACAUUUUUGCGUUUAAUUUUCUUGAAGUUUUAUUCUUGUCUGUAAAGGUAAUUCGUUAGACCCUCCUAAGUGAGACUUCUCGUCUUUGUCUUGUUUAACUUUUCGUAAGAGCGAAGUUCACAAAGCAGACCAAGAAUCCGGGCGCGUGGCGGUCCUUGUGGGGAUCCGGGUCCGCAGACCGGCCCCCGGCGAACCCCUGGCUCUCGGCGCCCUCCCCCGGGCAUGGCAGUGGCAGAGACAGGCCGCCCCCGACCCCGGCCCGUUUAGAUGGAGCCUCUUCGUCCUGACAGCCCUCUGGGAUUCCCGUGUCCCUGCAGGAACGAGGGGAGGUGGGGGCUGCAGCCCAGAAUUUAGCAUCCCCGACCUCCCCAAACUCCAGCCUUGCUGGGAUUAAGGGAGCAAAUCCCUGAUGCCACAGACCAGGUCAAGGACAAG
ensembl:lncRNA